rnacentral:rRNA from 1 species
UACGUAGGGUGCAAGCGUUAAUCGGAAUUACUGGGCGUAAAGCGCGCGCAGGCGGCCUUUUAAGUCUGACGGUGAAAUGCCGGGGCUCAACCCCGUGCCCGCCGGAGAUACUGGGAGGCUGGAGACGAGUAGAGGCAAGCGGAAUUCCGGGUGUAGCGGUGGAAUGCGUAGAGAUCCGGAAGAACACCGGAGGCGAAGGCGGCUUGCUGGGCUCGGUCUGACGCUGAGGCGCGAAAGCGUGGGGAGCAAACGGG